GGUCGUAGGACAUGGCCGCCAGGAGGUAGCUCUCGGUGAUGCCCAGAGCCACGAAGAAGUACAUCUCGGCAAAGCACGCCUGGAAGGAUAUGGCCUGGCCCGGGUGGAGCAGGCCGGCCAGCAGCCUGGGGACCGUGACGGUGGUAAAGCAGACGUCCACGAGGCUCAGCUUUUGGAAGAGCAAUGAAUGAAAACAGAGGUGAAGGGACCGUGAAGGAGAGGGUGAUGGACAAACUCCAAGGCAAACUGCUGUCAACUUCCUAAGACAUGCCACAAAAUGUUGAAUGAAGAUAGGCAGCGUUGGCAAGGAGAGUUUCUGAAACUUCCACUGGAGGGCUCUGCGUGUUCCGGCAGGAAUGGUAUUCUGACCUUUUCAGCUAGCAGAGGAUGAGGAGGACAAGGUGGUGGUGUCAUUGGGCAUGUCAACCAAGAGCAAGAAACUCAUGGAGCCAGAAGCUGGGACCAAUAGGACCGCUGUUGCUGAGUUCAUUCUACUGGGCCUAGUGCAAACAGAAGAGAUGCAGCCAGUUGUCUUUGUGCUCCUCCUCUUUGCCUAUCUGGUCACAACUGGGGGCAACCUCAGCAU
rnacentral:lncRNA from 1 species